rnacentral:lncRNA from 1 species
CCAGAAUUAAACUUAUGAUGCUAUUACUCUACGUGCAAAAUAGGGAGGGAUGUUAUUAUUCGGUUUGUUGGACUUUCAGGGAGACGUCUUCCUGUUGUUAUUACAUCCACUCAGGCUAUUUGUGUCUCCUUUGCUCAAGCAGCCAAACCAUUCCGGAGAACUUUGCUGUCCCUGGGAUUGAAGCCAGUGUGGAAGGCCAAGAAGCCUCUUCAGGCUCUAUUCCCAUUUCUUUGGCUCGGUUCCCACCGCUGGAGGAUGAGGAUGGGUGGAGAUGAAGAUGGGGGUGGGGGAGAACACUUCAGUUCACACCCUUCUAAGCACCUGAUGCCUCAGGGAUGGUGACAAGGGCCUAGGGCCCAUCUUUCAGAACAGAUGACUGUGGACAAGAAGCAGAUAAGCUGAACCAGGCCACUCAAUGAACCCAGUGCCAGCCUCAGAUAAACUGUCGCCACUUUAUACACUUACACACCCCUUAACCCUCCCUUCUUCUCCAGCCUCCACCAGAAAAAUCUCCCAAGUCUCACACCCACCCAUAGGCUUGAGGCAGGAGCCAGGUCCCUGAGCCAACUGCUCUCUGGGAAAGACAUGGAAGGAGAGGGAGUUCUCUUAGGAAUGCUGAUAACAACCAUUUUUGAUUCUCUCUAACCUCAGCUGCACUCAGCUCUCCAGGGACAAAGACAAGUAGAGAACUAAAGCAGAUGUCUGAUAAUGGCAGUAAAAAAUUUUUUGUGGUAUUUUUUUUAACUUGAAAGAUAAUUGAAAUAGCUUUGCCUUUCUGUUAUCCCCCCAACAUAAGCUCCCUUCCCCUCUCACCAAUCACUUUCUCAUCUAUGGAUUUUUUUUAGCCUUUUUUUUUUUUAAGUCUAGUCCUGUGAUUUCACGGAUGAGGGUAACUCCUGGUGUAGAAAAUCCAUCCCUAGAUUCAGAGCAGCUACUCAUCUGUAACAUAUGACAAUGUAUGUAAUUGCUUAAGGCUUGGGUGGGGAACCUGCGGGUGAGACCACAUGUGGCCUUCUAGGUCCUCAAGUGGGGCCCUUUGACUGAAUUCAAACUUCAUUCCCCACCCCUGGCCUAAGGGCACAGAGAAGUCAAGCAACUUGUCCAUGGUUAUUACAGCUAUGUUAUUACAGUAUAUGUCAAAAACAGAACUUGAACCAUGUCUUUCUAACUCUAAGGCCUUCUGUCUAUGCCCCAAAAUAAUGUGACUUCUCUUUGGCUUCAGUAAGAAUCAAAACUCUAGAGAAGGUAGGUAUUGUUCUUCCGCAAUUGUAGCUAGGGAAUGCAAGGACCAGAAAGAUUAAGAUGCCUCCCAAGGUCAUAUAACAAAACAAUGGUCCUAGAACCUAGGAGCUCUUGCCUCUCAGCUUGAGAGUUUUCUCAAAGAGGCACCAUUAUCUCCCAAUCAUUAAGACAGGCCACUUAGUUGCUUUGGUCUUUUGAACCCCAACCCAUCUGAAGGAUGGAAGUGCUUUUGUAGGUCAGUGGGAGAAAUAGCUCUAAGCUGAAGUCUUCUGGGGUUCCAUGCUAGCAGACCAAUUGUGCGAUUUCAUCCCCCAUCCCACCCCCUUCAGUAACAUUAAAAGAAAAAGUUUUCUAACAGUAAAAGGGGUUUGAGGUCCUAGGAAUGCUCCUUGGCAAGGUGAUAGAUCUGCCUCCUUCGGGGACAUUUAAGGAAAGGGCAGACCAAUCUCAUUUGGAGCUGUGUUGACUCUGGCUAGUACUGCCUUGAUACAAAGGGCAGGAGAAGGUGACCUCAGAGGAGGCUUUCCAAUACUGGGACUUAACCCAAUGUCAGGGGAGAUGAACAGGACACAGGAUUCCUGCUCUCAAACAGAUAUCUGUUCCAGGGAUUUGCAAAUUCAAUGAGAAUUUGGCAGAAGACAGUUGCAAUGUGCAGGAUGUGACCCUAGCAGGAUCAGGCCCCACUGAUCCUUAUCUCUGGCAAUCAUUGUACAUCCAGGGUAAAUGUUCUCAAGUGAACUGGUAUGGAGUUCUCCAAGAAUGAGUUUUUCUGGCUGGAGCUAGAGAGGGUUUGGCAGAUCUCCUAUUGUUUGCUAAUAGUUUUGUGCAUGUAAAUUUCCUCAAUCAGAUAAUCAGCUCCCUCCUUGAGAACAGGAACCAUUUCUGAGACUUUAUUUUUUUUUUUGCAUUUCCCACAGAGCUUAGCAGAAUGCCCAAUAAAUAUCUGAUGAAUUCUGAAUGCA